rnacentral:rRNA from 1 species
UGGGGAAUUUUGGACAAUGGGCGAAAGCCUGAUCCAGCCAUGCCGCGUGAGUGAAGAAGGCCUUCGGGUUGUAAAGCUCUUUUAGUCGGAAAGAAAGAGUUGCAAUGAAUAAUUGUGAUUUAUGACGGUACCGACAGAAAAAGCACCGGCUAACUACGUGCCAGCAGCCGCGGUAAUACGUAGGGUGCGAGCGUUAAUCGGAAUUACUGGGCGUAAAGGGUGCGCAGGCGGUCUUGCAAGUCAGAUGUGAAAGCCCCGGGCUUAACCUGGGAAUUGCGUCUGAAACUACAAGGCUAGAGUGCAGCAGAGGGGAGUCGAAUUCCAUGUGUAGCAGUGAAAUGCGUAGAGAUGUGGAAGAACACCGAUGGCGAAGGCAGCUCCCUGGGUUGACACUGACGCUCAUGCACGAAAGCGUGGGGAGCAAACA